AACGAACGCUGGCGGCAUGCCUAACACAUGCAAGUCGAACGAGACCUUCGGGUCUAGUGGCGCACGGGUGCGUAACGCGUGGGAACCUGCCCUUAGGUUCGGAAUAACUCCCCGAAAGGGGUGCUAAUACCGGAUAAUGUCUUCGGACCAAAGAUUUAUCGCCUUUGGAUGGGCCCGCGUUGGAUUAGCUAGUUGGUAGGGUAAAAGCCUACCAAGGCGACGAUCCAUAGCUGGUCUGAGAGGAUGAUCAGCCACACUGGGACUGAGACACGGCCCAGACUCCCUCGGGAGGGAGGCGGUGGGAAUAUUGGAAAAUGGGCGAAAGCCUGAUCCAGCAAUGCCGCGUGAGUGAUGAAGGCCUUAGGGUUGUAAAGCUCUUUUACCCGGGAUGAUAAUGACAGUACCGGGAGAAUAAGCUCCGGCUAACUCCGUG
rnacentral:rRNA from 1 species